UACGAAGGGGGCUAGCGUUGCUCGGAAUUACUGGGCGUAAAGGGCGCGUAGGCGGACAGUUUAGUCAGAGGUGAAAGCCCAGGGCUCAACCUUGGAAUUGCCUUUGAUACUGGCUGUCUUGAGUUCGGGAGAGGUGAGUGGAAUGCCGAGUGUAGAGGUGAAAUUCGUAGAUAUUGGGAAGAACACCGGUGGCGAAGGCGGCUCUCUGGACCGAGACUGACGCUGAGGCGCGAAAGCGUGGGGAGCAAACAGG
rnacentral:rRNA from 1 species